UUCACAUGUACCCCCAAACCUAAAAUAAAAGUUAAAAACAAACAAGCAAUGUUUUAUAAUAAAUUAUAAGAGGUUACAUCUGUUAAAGAAAUCAGGAAACUUUGUUAAAGUGCUGUAGUUAAAAUAUGUCAUCCACUCAUGCAGUUAUCCUUCAUUUGUUCAUUCUCAAAACAUUUAUUGUUUAUUAUGCUCCCCCAGGUACUGUUCACCCACUGUUGCACAUGCCAGAGAAGAAGGAGAGAGACAUCUGCAAGUCAGCAAUUAAAAUGGCAUGAAGUGCACACUUUGGAAAAGGCAUAACCGGGGCAUAGGAAAUUGACCAUGGGGGUACAUUAGGGUGGAUAGAAACACGAAGGUGAUGCUUUCAGAGGAGUGUUGGGGAAAGAAGGAGAGAAGGGCAUGCCAGGCAGCGGAAACAGCAUAUUGGGCAGCAGAGAGAUGUGACUGAGCAGGACCCCACCAGUACUUCUUGGAGUUUCUGUGUCUGGAACAUACAUGCAUGAGUGGGGUGGGCUGGGGUGAGUGGGCACUGGGCCAGGGAAAUAGGCAGGAGUCCAAAUGAAAAGGGCCCGAAGGGGUUAAGCUAAGGAACUGGAACACUAUUCUAAAAGCCGCAGGAGGUGUGGAUGGCUUUUAAGCAGGGGAGUGACCUGGUCGCUUUGUGAAUUAGCAGGAUUAUUCUGGAGUGCCAAGCAGCCUUGGGAGGAGAGUCACGCUGUUCAUUGUAGCAAACCAGGAGUCAUGCCAAGAAGCAGUCCUUGCUGUAAGCAUGCAGAGGAGCGCUGGCUUUGAGGGAUGUUGCAGGGGAAGGAGGAGUUUCAGCUGUGCUUCUAAGAUCUUCCAGAAGGAAUUUUCUACCUCUAAAAUCAAGGACUUUCCUGGAAACUGCAGUCAGAGGACAGAACAUUAGCCUCAAGCUGGUGAAUAGGAUGGAUUUUCUCCCUAAACAUCCCUUCUGCUCUCUACUUUGAAUUAUCAAUAAAAUGGUUUGGCUUAUCUCUGAAAA